UUACAGCUGGCCAAUGAUCUACAGGUGAACAUUCAGAAAAGGGCAGACAUGUUGAAUUUGAGUAUGAAUGAGGUGACUGUGACGGGUCUACAGGGAGAUCAGCAGUAUCCAUGUGUUUUGGAGACGAUUGAGUCCAAUGCCAUCAUCUGUAAGAUUAAAAGAGAAUCAGAACACAUCCGAACAGUGGACUCACUCACUAUCACGGUUGGGAAUUAUGUUCUCGGGAUGAGUAAUACAAAGAAUCUGUUCUGCCUCAGUCCACAGAAUACACCUGGCCAUAUAUGAAGGAAAAAUGAUUCUCAGCAUCUUUCUGGGAAAAAAAACAAACAAA